UACGAAGGGGGCGAGCGUUGUUCGGAUUUACUGGGCGUAAAGGGCGCGCAGGCGGCUUUGUUUGUCAGGCGUGAAAGCCCCGGGCUUAACCUGGGAACUGCGUUUGAUACGGCAGGGCUAGAGUUCGGGAGAGGAGCGUGGAAUUCCCAGUGUAGAGGUGAAAUUCGUAGAUAUUGGGAAGAACACCGGUGGCGAAGGCGGCGCUCUGGACCGAGACUGACGCUGAGGCGCGAAAGCGUGGGGAGCGAACAGG
rnacentral:rRNA from 1 species